AUUUAUCUAAGAAUCUGGAUCCAGUUGCAAAGGGACAGCCCCCUCCUUUAGGAGCUCUGGAGGCUGCUGUUAUGCUAAUCAAGUAGGGAGACAAGUUGACUUUAGGGCAAGAAUUGACUAUUCAGGUGCCUCACGUUCUGAACACCAGUGGCUCUCAAAUAAUACAGUCACACAUAUAUUAGGCCCUCAUCUGUGAGUAUCCCCACCUAUAUUUUGGUCGAGUUAAUACCUUGAAUCCUGCUACUUUUUGCCCUCAGAACUUGGCCCACCCUGACCACUACUGCCACAGGGUCACUGACAAGUUGUUCUCAAGUCAUCCAGAUCUGCAGAAAGACACACUACCUGAUGCUGAUAUUGUCCUGUUCAAGGACGGGAGCAGCUUCGUGGAAAAUGGGGUAUCAGUCAACUGGUACACAUGGGACUCAAAAGUUAAGAAGAUGGAUUCUGCAUUAAAGAGGUUUGGAAGGAUCCCCCUCCAGAAAUAGGAAAAACUCCUGUACUGCAGGAAAUACAGAAUAUCUUGAAAGGGCA
rnacentral:lncRNA from 1 species